rnacentral:rRNA from 1 species
GUAAGGAAUAUUGGGCAAUGGACGAAAGUCUGACCCAGCCAUGCCGCGUGAAGGAUGAAGGUCCUCUGGAUUGUAAACUUCUUUUAUCUGGGGCGAAAAUCACCCUUUCUAGGGUGCUUGACAGUACCAGAAGAAUAAGCACCGGCUAACUCCGUGCCAGCAGCCGCGGUAAUACGGAGGGUGCAAGCGUUAUCCGGAUUCACUGGGUUUAAAGGGUGCGUAGGCGGGCAGGUAAGUCAGUGGUGAAAUCCCCGAGCUUAACUCGGGAACUGCCGUUGAUACUAUCUGUCUUGAAUACCGUGGAGGUGAGCGGAAUAUGUCAUGUAGCGGUGAAAUGCUUAGAUAUGACAUAGAACACCAAUUGCGAAGGCAGCUCGCUACACGGUUAUUGACGCUGAGGCACGAAAGCGUGGGGAUCAAACAGGAUUAGAAACCCGGGUAGUCC